rnacentral:rRNA from 1 species
UACGAAGGGGGCUAGCGUUGCUCGGAAUUACUGGGCGUAAAGCGCACGUAGGCGGCUUGUUAAGUCGGAGGUGAAAUCCUGGAGCUCAACUCCAGAACUGCCUUCGAUACUGGCGAGCUCGAGUCCGGGAGAGGUGAGUGGAACUGCGAGUGUAGAGGUGAAAUUCGUAGAUAUUCGCAAGAACACCAGUGGCGAAGGCGGCUCACUGGCCUGGUACUGACGCUGAGGUGCGAAAGCGUGGGGAGCAAACAGG